ACAAGGGAAAAUCUAAUAUAUUCAGCUUUCAGUAUCAUUGCGCGAUCCGAGACUGUCAUCGCGUGUCUCUUAUCAUUUUUCAUCGAAUGUUGAUGAAACAAUAUAACGUUGAUUAGUGAGUUGUUAACGUAAUUGACGAGUUUCAUAAUAAAACCCUUUAAUUAGGUCAUCCGGUGUAAGGGUCAACUUCGCAAGUUCAAUUUCAAGGUCGUGCAAUAUGUUAUUGCAGUGUUAAUGUGAAUUUAAAGCGUUUGAUAGAAUUAUGUUUAGUGUUUGGAUUAAACGUUGGAAGCCGAAAAGCUUAUUCCCAGAAAAUGGCAGGAGGUGAAGGUGAUUGUUAUACUAACACCAGGAAGAUGGGCAUACAGACCCACCAGCCCGUAGCUCUUCCGCAUUCCAAAACUCGGAAAGGCAUUGAGAGACAAAGCUGAGGGUCUGCGAAAAAUACUAUUACAGCAAAAUCAACAUGCCUACUGCCAAGCGACAAAAUCGAAGAAGAAGAAGAUUUUAUCCGGCCAGCUAAAUAUAAGACGAACAUCGUGCUAGAACUUACGUAAUAUCUUCAAGCUCAG